UGUUUAUUUUAAUAACAAGGCAAGCUGGGUUUAUGCUGCUCCAACUUGUGUUUGUUGCCUAACCUGCUCAGGUUCCUUUCUCUCAUACCUGCAUGUGUGCAGACUUUGCCUACUGUUAAUUCCAGUGUUAUAGGCUUUGUAAAAGACACAAUGCAGAAGUUAUGAGAGGAUUCUCUGAGUAAGAGAUCUGAAGCUACUUUUGUAAGGCUGCUUUCAGAAGAGUCCUUCCUCCUUAGCAUAUGCAUCAUCUGACUGCCAGGGAAGGCAUGGAGUGAGGCCAGAGCAUACAGUCCUUUGGGUAAUUCUGGAUAAGAGCUUUGCUCUUUCGCCUACAUGAAUUUUCUGUAAUUUAUGCCAUCCCAGAUCUUCUAAAUUACCUCUAAAGCAGCUCCAUCCUCUUUGGUAUUGAUUCUCAUUAAAAAGCAGGAAACAUGAGCCAUUGUGACUGAAUACUAAUUUUUCUCACCAGUGAAAACCUCAGCUAUAGAACUUUCAUGUUCUAUACAUAAACCACUCAAAGUGACCACAGCUUUUGGGUUUUUUACAGUUUAAGCAUGGCAUGGCAGCUGGAGGAAAUAUUAAGCCAGCCGAUUCAUGCAAGGACAUCCAGGGUUUACACAGGGCAUGGAUCUUCAGCACUGUUGAUGGUGUUUCAACUUUAAACAUGACCACAACAAGAAAUUUCAGCUCCAGAAGCAGAGAUUCAUAUUAUGUCAUGACAGAAAUGCUGCCUACCUGCGUCACCAAACAAACACUGCUAGUGACCAAUGAUCUCUGAAGAAGAUGGAUUAGUAAUUUUCUUCUUCUCACUCUGGAAUUUAAACUGAUACAUUUUUUCAUGCAAGGAAUUCAGCUAGAGAUUGCAACCGUACAGAAAAAAUAAAUCUUAGUAUGCCAGAUGCCCUGGUAGCAGAGAGCCUUUGAAACCUUCUCCUGUUUCUUCGACACCUGAUGGCAAUUGUUCGACUGGAGAUUUACAGCUGACCUGAGACUCAAACAGCUGAAGUUAUGGAAGCUUGAAAUGGUGCUGGAUUCACUGGAGUGACAGUGUUACCAUCAUCCAAUGGCUGCUGAUCAGUGAAAUGCGAUGGUAAUUUCUGCAUUCCAGUGGUCAAAUGUUCCUACCAUCAAAACCACCAACACAUCCCAAAGAAAAAGCUAUUUAGAGGCCUUAUCUUCUGGCCACAUUUGCAUACAUUUCAGCUCUAACCACAUCAGUCACAUUACUAGCUUUAACAGAAUAUCUCUGGUGAUAGUUUAUUCCAGGUUACAAAAGCUUGGAAGAGAUAAUUAACAAGGCCUUCAUGCUGUGAGUUAUUAUGUGUGUGAUAAAAGUUCCCUGAUGCAAUAGCAGUUAAAAAGGAAAACUUAUUCCAGGGAUAAAGCUAGUUCAACACCUGAAAAAUAUUUUCAAACUGUAAAAUACUCUCUCAGUAGUGAUUUCUUCUCUCAUUUGUCUUGUAAUUAGUAUUAUCCCCAGUGUCCCUAUUCAGAUGUGAAUAUGUACUGAUAGUAAUUCCCACAUCUGUAAGAUCAGGCUUUAUGUGGAAAGGGGAAAAUCCUUUGGCAGGAAAUGUCUUUUUUUUUUUUUUUCCUUAAACAAAAGAGGAUGGCAGUACUAUACUUUCAAAACCAAUCCCUGGCAAAGAUGGAGUAUAAUUUCUUUUGUGAAACACUAAUAUGUAAUAAGCUAGGAAAAAAGAGAUUAAGGAUGUUUUUUAAGAAUGUAUAUUGUGGCUUGAAUUAUCUUCUUGAAAUUAUUAAAAUACUCUUAAAAGUAAUUUAGUCUGGAUUAUUUUAACAGAACAACAUUAUCUAACAGUAACAGACUAUCAGGAUCUUGCUCAUAGCGUAGUAAAUCAUGCAGAGGCAUAUUCAGGUGUGUAUACAGUUAUACAUUUACCAAACAUUUAUAAUUUCAUACUAUUCUUUUAUAUUUACAUUUCUAACACAGCGCAAUAUCCAGUUUACAGGAAUCCUACUAAGACUACUGAGAAAGAACCUCUGCUUAGGAAAAUACCUAAAAGGACAUUACCUAAAACUAGCUUGGCAACCUACUUUUCAGGCUGAAAAGAACAUGUUGCAAACAUGAGUCGAAAGACCACACAGUUCUCUUUAAAACCAAGAGGAGUUAUUUAGAUACUAAGUUGUGUAAAUCUUGUAAAUAAACAAACUGAAAUUUCAUUGGUAUCCUUUAUUUGUAUAAUACGACCUUUUACGCAGGUGGGUUGCUAUUUACCUUCCUAACUUACUAUCAGUCACAUAUUAUAAAGACAGUCUUGCCACCCUCACACCCUUGGCCUGUGUGUUUCCAAGCAAAAGGUGCUA